rnacentral:rRNA from 1 species
UGUAGUCAUAUGCUUGUCUCAAAGAUUAAGCCAUGCAUGUCUAAGUAUAAGCAAUUAUACCGCGAAACUGCGAAUGGCUCAUUAAAUCAGUUAUCGUUUAUUUGAUAGUACCUUACUACAUGGAUAACCGUGGUAAUUCUAGAGCUAAUACAUGCUAAAAAUCCCGACUUCGGAAGGGAUGUAUUUAUUAGAUUAAAAACCAAUGCCCUUCGGGGCUCUCUGGUGAUUCAUAAUAACUUCUCGAAUCGCACGGCCUUGCGCCGGCGAUGGUUCAUUCAAAUUUCUGCCCUAUCAACUUUCGACGGCUGGGUCUUGGCCAGCCGUGGUGACAACGGGUAACGGAGGGUUAGGGCUCGACCCCGGAGAAGGAGCCUGAGAAACGGCUACUACAUCCAAGGAAGGCAGCAGGCGCGCAAAUUACCCAAUCCCGACACGGGGAGGUAGUGACAAUAAAUACUGAUACAGGGCUCUUUCGGGUCUUGUAAUUGGAAUGAGUACAAUUUAAAUCCCUUAACGAGGAACAAUUGGAGGGCAAGUCUGGUGCCAGCAGCCGCGGUAAUUCCAGCUCCAAUAGCGUAUAUUAAAGUUGUUGAGGUUAAAAAGCUCGUAGUUGAACCUUGGGCCUAGCCGGCCGGUCCGCCUCACCGCGUGCACUGGCUCGGCUGGGUCUUUCCUUCUGGAGAACCGCAUGCCCUUCACUGGGUGUGCUGGGGAACCAGGACUUUUACUCUGAAUAAAUUAGAUCGCUUAAAGAAGGCCUAUGCUCGAAUACAUUAGCAUGGAAUAAUAGAAUAGGACGUGUGGUUCUAUUUUGUUGGUUUCUAGGACCGCCGUAAUGAUUAAUAGGGACAGUCGGGGGCAUCAGUAUUCAAUUGUCAGAGGUGAA